rnacentral:misc_RNA from 1 species
AACGCACAUUGCGCCCUCUGGUAUUCCGGGGGGCAUGCCUGUUCGAGCGUCAUUACAACCCUCAAGCUCUGCUUGGUAUUGGGCGUCACUGUCUCCGGUGCGCCUUAAAAUCAGUGGCGGUGCCAUUAGGCUUCAAGCGUAGUAAUUCUUCUCGCUCUGGAGUUCUGGUGUGUGCUUGCCAACAACCCCUAAUUUUAUCAAGGUUGACCUCGGAUCAGGUAGGGAUACCCGCUGAACUUAA